UAAAGCCAUGUCAGAGUCAUGGCUCAGAGAGAUGGAGAGAUGAAGAGAUGAAGAGAUGAAGAGAUGCCCCAGGUCUGGAGAGGAGAGGAGAAAGGACAGGAAAGGAGAGGACGGAUAAUCUCAUCACGAUCCUGAUGCGUCGUGACCGCGUCGAUUCUCUUCCCGCUGGUGUUUACAGGGUUGUCGACCCCCUGAACACGGUGACUGAACAUGAAGGGCACACCAAUUCAGCGCCAACACUGGCACAGCGUUCGAGCACGAAACAGCAAACCCGUGCCUCGGAGAAUAAAAAGGUGCGACUGUGGAGUGUUACCAUGGCAACAGGGCACUGACAAAUUAGCAAACAAUAAAUAAACAAGUGAAAAAAUAAAUAACCAAGUACAUAACUAAUUUGGGCAAAGGUGUGGGUGGAUCUUUAGAGGCUUGUAUAACAAAUAAAUCAAUAGUUAAUUAAAUUCAGAACUAUUGUGUCAUUUUAAUUUGCUUUUGCUAGUUUGUUUUUCAUUUUAUGCAACAGCAAUAAUAAUGAUAAUAAUAAAAUAAUAAUAAUAAUAAUAAUGUGAUUGCCUAUAUCAUCACGUUAUAUUAUUAAUAUUGAUAUUAAAAUGAUUGUUUUUACUGUUGUAUGCUUGUCGUCAAUAUUAUUACUUCGAUUUUUAAGCCUGCCAUUAAUUACAUUAAAAUCUUUUAACUUAUAAACAAGUGCAUGAACAGACCAGGGCAAAAGUUUACACACCCAUAGGAAUAUAUAUCAUUUACACAAAGCUGUUUAGCAUGUUAAGAAAGAAACAGCGAGGUAGCCUAUCACAAGUAAUAAAAAUUAUUUUUAAAAAGUGGUGUAUAUUAUAACAAAAAAACAAAACAAAAAACUAAGCUUGAAAAAAUUAAAUAAUAAAUAAAUUAAUAUGUGGCAAAAGUUGACUAAAAGAUCAGUUCAAAUUCUCAAGUGUCAACUUUCAGUAUACGUAAAUUAUGAAAUUAAUUAAGAGAGAAAUGGGGGGGCGGGGUAUGACGGUCCUGAGGUAUGAAUUUAAAGAUUAAAGCAAGUACAAAACAGUUUUAUUUAACUGUUCAUUUAUUUAGAAAAAAAAACAACUUUACAUUAGAACAAAUACUUCAGAAAAACCUUGAGUGUUUAAUAGCAUUUGCUACUAAAUUAAAAUUCUACUGACAUGAAAAUCGUGAUAAAGUACAUUAAGCCAUGAUUUUAUGAACAGAAAAGAAAUAUCUGUAGGUGAAAUGCCAAGUUCUCUGUUCACAGCAGUUCAUAUGAAAUGUCUGGAAUUUUCCGCCUUUUCCAUUUAACCCACUGUGCUGGCUAGUUGUGUUUGACCUGCAAACGUUUCAGCAGAGGAGUUUUCUUCCUGGCAUAAAGAAACGGCAGAUUAGGACACGACGUGAAAAAAUGUCAAACCAUCAGCUUCUAUUAAAGUAACACCAAAAAGGAUAUUUUUCAAAAUAAAACUUUCCAGAACUAUUGAUCAUCCAGG